rnacentral:SRP_RNA from 1 species
GCUAGGCAUGGUGGCGGGCGCCUGUAGUCCCAGCUACUCGGGAGGCUGAGGCAGGAGAAUCGCUUGAACCCAGGAGUCGGAGGUUGCAGUGAGCUGAGAUUGAGCCACUGCACUCCAGCCUGGGUGACAGAGUGAGACUCUGUCUCAA